rnacentral:rRNA from 1 species
GUGGUUUAAUUNGACGCAACGUGCAGAACCUUACCAGCCCUUGACAUGUCCAGGACCGGUCGCAGAGAUGUGACCCUCUCUUCGGAGCCUGGAACACAGGUGCUGCAUGGCUGUCGUCAGCUCGUGUCGUGAGAUGUUGGGUUAAGUCCCGCAANGAGCGCAACCCCCGUCCUUAGUUGCUACCAUUUAGUUGAGCACUCUAAGGAGACUGCCGGUGAUAAGCCGCGAGGAAGGUGGGGAUGACGUCAAGUCCUCAUGGCCCUUACGGGCUGGGCUACACACGUGCUACAAUGGCGGUGACAAUGGGAUGCUAAGGGGCGACCCUUCGCAAAUCUCAAAAAGCCGUCUCAGUUCGGAUUGGGCUCUGCAACUCGAGCCCAUGAAGUUGGAAUCGNUAGUAAUCGUGGAUCAGCACGCCAUCGGUGAAUACGUUUCCCGGG